rnacentral:rRNA from 1 species
AUUGAACGCUGGCGGCAGGCCUAACACAUGCAAGUCGAGCGAGCGGCGGACGGGUGAGUAAUGUCUGGGAAACUGCCUGAUGGAGGGGGAUAACUACUGGAAACGGUAGCUAAUACCGCAUACCAUCAGAUGUGCCCAGAGUGGAUUAGCUAGUAGGUGGGGUAACGGCUCACCUAGGCGACGAUCCCUAGCUGGUGUGAGAGGAUGACCAGCAACACAGGAACUAAAACACGGUCCAGAGUCCUACGGGAGGCAGCAGUAGGGAAUAUUACGCAAUGGGCGAAAGCCGGAUGCAGCAAUGCCGCGUGUGUGAAGAAGGCCUUCGGGUUGUAAAGCACUAUCAGCGGGGAGGCGUUACCCGCAGAAGAAGCACCGGAUAACUCCGUGCCAGCAGCCGCGGUAAUAC